CUUAUCUUAGUUUAAUUAAGAAUUUAGGUUUUGGGGACUUAAGGUCUCUAUGGAGAGGUUAGAGGUUGGG
rnacentral:tRNA from 1 species